AGUUUGAUCCUGGCUCAGGAUGAACGCUGGCGGCGCGCCUAACACAUGCAAGUCGAACGGCCCCCCCUCCGGGUGUGAGAGGGUGGGCAACCGGUUGAAUACCGGUGGGAGACUCGCCUCCUCCCCCGGGGAUACCCCCCAGAAAAGCGGGGUAACCCGGAACCCCGGGGUGCCCGCAUGGCCCCCCGGAAAAAAGCCCCGCAGAAGGGGAGGUUCCCGCGCCCAUCAGGUAGACGGCGGGGGGACGGCCCACCGGCCCGACAACGGGUACCCGGGUUGAGAGCCCGACCGGCCAGAUUGGGACUGAGACACGGCCCAGACUCCUACGGGAGGCAGCAGUGGGGAAUCUUGCGCAAUGGGGGGAACCCUGACGCAGCGACGCCGCGUGCGGGACGGAGGCCUUCGGGUCGUAAACCGCUUUCAGCAGGGAAGAGUCAAGACUGUACCUGCAGAAGAAGCCCCGGCUAACUACGUGCCAGCAGCCGCGGUAAUACGUAGGGGGCGAGCGUUAUCCGGAUUCAUUGGGCGUAAAGCGCGCGUAGGCGGCCCGGCAGGCCGGGGGUCGAAGCGGGGGGCUCAACCCCCCGAAGCCCCCGGAACCUCCGCGGCUUGGGUCCGGUAGGGGAGGGUGGAACACCCGGUGUAGCGGUGGAAUGCGCAGAUAUCGGGUGGAACACCGGUGGCGAAGGCGGCCCUCUGGGCCGAGACCGACGCUGAGGCGCGAAAGCUGGGGGAGCGAACAGGAUUAGAUACCCUGGUAGUCCCAGCCGUAAACGAUGGACGCUAGGUGUGGGGGGACGAUCCCCCCGUGCCGCAGCCAACGCAUUAAGCGUCCCGCCUGGGGAGUACGGCCGCAAGGCUAAAACUCAAAGGAAUUGACGGGGGCCCGCACAAGCAGCGGAGCAUGUGGCUUAAUUCGAAGCAACGCGAAGAACCUUACCAGGGCUUGACAUAUGGGUGAAGCGGGGGAGACCCCGUGGCCGAGAGGAGCCCAUACAGGUGGUGCAUGGCUGUCGUCAGCUCGUGUCGUGAGAUGUUGGGUUAAGUCCCGCAACGAGCGCAACCCCCGCCGCGUGUUGCCAUCGGGUGAUGCCGGGAACCCACGCGGGACCGCCGCCGUCAAGGCGGAGGAGGGCGGGGACGACGUCAAGUCAUCAUGCCCCUUAUGCCCUGGGCUGCACACGUGCUACAAUGGCCGGUACAGAGGGAUGCCACCCCGCGAGGGGGAGCGGAUCCCGGAAAGCCGGCCCCAGUUCGGAUUGGGGGCUGCAACCCGCCCCCAUGAAGUCGGAGUUGCUAGUAAUCGCGGAUCAGCAUGCCGCGGUGAAUGCGUUCCCGGGCCUUGCACACACCGCCCGUC
rnacentral:rRNA from 1 species